rnacentral:rRNA from 1 species
AGUGGCAGACGGGUGAGUAAUGCGUAGGAAUCUACCUAGUAGUACGGAAUAGCCAUUAGAAAUGGUGGGUAAUACUGUAUAAUCCCCGAGGGGGAAAGAUUUAUCGCUAUUAGAUGAGCCUACGUUAGAUUAGCUAGUUGGUGAGGUAAUGGCUUACCAAGGCUAUGAUCUAUAGCUGGUCUGAGAGGACGAUCAGCCACACUGGAACUGAGAUACGGUCCAGACUCCUACGGGAGGCAGCAGUGGGGAAUAUUGGACAAUGGGCGAAAGCCUGAUCCAGCUAUGCCGCGUGAGUGAAGAAGG